rnacentral:rRNA from 1 species
CCUACGGGUGGCAGCAGUGGGGGAUAUUGCACAAUGGGGGGAACCCUGAUGCAGCGACGCCGCGUGGGUGAAGAAGCGCCUCGGCGCGUAAAGCCCUUUCAGCAGGGAAGAAAAUGACGGUACCUGAAGAAGAAGCCCCGGCUAUCUACGUCCCAGCAGCCGCGGUGAUACGUAGGGGGCAAGCGUGAUCCGGAUUUACUGGGGGUAAAGGGGGCGCAGACGGCGAUGCAAGCCAGGCGUGAAAGCCCGGGGCCCAACCCCGGGACUGCUCUUGGAACGGCGUGGCUGGAGUGCAGGAGGGGCAGGCGGAAUUCCUGGUGUAGCGGUGAAAUGCGUAGAUAUCAGGCGG